rnacentral:lncRNA from 1 species
AGCCACAAGCACCAGUCAGUUCUAAAGAGCCAACUGAAACACAAAGUUAUAAUUGCUAGCUUGUGUGAAGACAUGCUUUUCUCCUUCCAUUCUUGUUUACAGUUACCUGAACCAAUGUCACUUUCAGAUGCGCAGGACAAUGCUGACUAUAGAUUAUUUCAGAAAAUACUCAAAUUGUGUCGUUUGCCAUUUCCCUUUUGCACUACAUAAAGCUUCAUAGUUGUAACAUUUGUUGUGGGAAUGCUUCUUGGAGUUCUUCAUCUGAAUUGCAGUUUAGACAACCGUUGGCAGAAUUACUCUGAGCACAUUCCUUGCAAAACUUUUGAGGGUGAAAGGAAGUUUUUCUGUCUGCCCUGAUCCAUUUUAGAC